AGAAUCUGGCCCAUCCUGUUCAAAGUGGGGGCGAACUUCAUAAAGAACAUCAAAAUAUUAUGCUGGCCUUGAAGGAAGAGAGAAAAGUCAUAAAGAACUCCCUGGGAGUCCCAGGUGCAGACUGAAUGAGACCCUGGCAGUGAGGAUCACGUAGACCCACUGAGGAUGUACAGUUUGCUUGUGCCUUCAAGAUGAGGUCUGAGAGAUACCAUAAGAGAUAAAUUGCAUGCCCCCACCUUUAGCGGGUUGUGAAUUAAAUGUAAUGGGUUGCAGCCAGAACUUGAAGAUUAACUAGGAUCAAAUAGAAUAAAAACAUCACAGUGCACUGUAUAUAGUAAAAG